ensembl:lncRNA
UAAACUGAAAUACUGGCUUCUCCGACAACAAUGCUGCAGCCAGUAUAUUCUCCUUUUGAAAUUUCUGUUCUGGAGCGGAACGUCUGUUUGUGUUUUGGACUGUGUGAUUCCGCCCACUGCCCAUUUCUCCAGUACCAUUAACCAUAGACAUAUAUACAGGACAUGUCUAUGCCAUUAACACCCCUGGUUGCCAGAUACGUAAGAACAUAAACACAGCGUGCGACUACCAUGGAAGUAAGCGAACGAACUGGACCAAUGUGUGAUACUGAUCCUUGAGCAGAAAAUCUUUUUUGUAAUCUAGCUUUCUCUGAUGCAUAUUCACACCUGUUCUAAUAUGUAAUUUAGCUAGCUAACAUUACUGUGGAAACAUAAAAAUGAGUUGUUUAUUGUUAUAUUUGUACUGUGUUGGUUUAAAAAAAAAAAAAAAAGAUGUAUCGUUGUGUAGCGGCGAUAAAACCAUGAUAGAGAAGGAGUAGUCUUGUUCGUUCAUCAUUCAGGUAUUUUAUGUAUACAACAUCGAAGGGGAAACUAGCCUUCAUAGUAGGUCACUGACCAAUGCACGCAAAGGACGUAUUAAUGUGAUGUCACACAAACUAGGCCUACUGGUUUUACUUUACGUCAUCAGCGUAGGCUACGUUAUUCCCGAAAGUAGAAGUCAGAAGGUUGUGAAAAGUUUCUGGGGGGUGUUGAAUGUUGAUAUAACUGCAAAGUUGCCUAGAUAAUGGCUGCUCAGAUGUUCGAUUACGGACCGGAGCGGACGUCUGGCCGACAUCCCUCCGAGGCCAAUUGGUCCGCUUACUCCGAGAACAUCAAUCAGCGGAUGCGGGUACCUGAGCGAAUCAGAGUGGCUCCUGGCCAGUCUGCAGAGGAAGAGCAGAGAUCUGAGGAGGUUCAUCCCGCCUACUCCAUGCAGAUACCGGACAAGCUGGCAUGGACAGAUGUCCCAGACCUCAGUGCCAGACCACAGUUCUCCAAACAGGUCCACGGCCACAGCAGCUCCCUGUGGGACCUGCACCAGGGAGCCUUCAGCUCGGAGGCCGCCGCCGCCCUACAGCAUCCUGCACAGAGCCCCAUUCGGAGGUCGUACAGUGACCAUGCCUUUGGCCGCAGCCCCCCACUCACCCCCACACGCACUAAGGAGUCCCUGCAGAGUCCAUCCUCUAGCCGCGGUUCCGGAAAAGCUUUGGCUCCUAGCCAGCGUGGCCCCAGCGACCCCCCCGCAGCCGCCCCCCAGGCCCCGGCCCCGGUCCCGGCGCUGGGCUCUCUCUCGCCCAGCCUGCUGUCUGCCCAGGGCGUGCUCCAGGCGGCCAAGGAGCUGGGUCAGCAGGCCUCCCAGCGUCUCCUUCAGACUGUCGCCCAAAAAUACUCCUCCAGGUUUGGCCACCCAGAUAACCCCUCACGGUGCUCGGCUGAGGUGCAGCCAUACACGGAAACCAGGAGAAGUGCCCUGCAAGAGUCUUGGCUGAGCCCGGACGAGGAGUCUGGUGCAGCUGUGGAGUUCAUUGUUCUUCGGCGGCAGCUGCUGAAGAUGAGUCGUCGCCUUGCCGCACUGGAGCGUCAGAACAUGGAGCACAAGCAGGCCGAGAUGCUGCUUUUCUCCCUCAUGGUGUCGGCCGUCUUGCUUAAUGGCUGGUUGUGGAUGCGCAGAUAGCCCCCCCCCCCCACACACACACACACACACACACACACAGUCUUCCCAUCUGUGCUUGGAUUCCACUGCCUGCCCCUCGGCCUCCAUCGGUCACCACUCUUUGGCUGUGCCCCUGUAUGGGUGCUCCUCCAUCGGUCACCACUCCUGUAUGGGCGCCAGCCUCGACCACACUAGGCGUAGCUAUGCUAACACCACUGAGGACUGGCUAGCUAGGUAAAAAGCAUUUGCACACAAGCACUGGGGUGGAGCUGGUUGUAAGUAUUGUAAGGUUGUGGUGAGGGGUUUUUGGCCCAGGUUUUGAGUGUGUUGUUUAUGUCAUGUAUUUAUCAAGUCAGGAGAAAGGAGGAGGCUUGAAAAAAAGCUUGACUGUUCAGGUGUUCAAAGGCUUAAGAGAAGUUUAAAUGUACUACACACUUAUUUAUGGCAUAGAAGAUUGUAAUUUAUAUUUACAUACUUGGCAGGUGUGUCCGGAGUCAUAUACUAGUGAAGCAGGAAACUGUACAAGUAGACCUAAUAUUUGUGUAUUGCUGUAUCCAGGACUGGAGCAGAACAUGUAGUGGAACACCUGUGCACACCUCCUGGAGUUGCUCUCGUUUGUGAGGAGGUUAUGGCCGCCACACAGGGGUUUUGGAUCGAGUUUGACUUCAUUUCCACGUAUUGUAGAGUUCAUCUGCAGUCACCCUAGCCAGGCCAGGCCAGGAUCAGAGAGCCUUGGGGGUGGGGGUGGGGGUGGGGGGGGGGGGGGGGGGGGAAGCCUUGCUCAAUGAGACCUGCUGAAAACACCCUCCUGCUUUUAUCAAUCAAUUCAGAGCAGAGGUCAAACAGUAGGCUGUGGACGCAGCAACAACAACAGUGACCUUCCACUACUGAAGACCUGGCCAUUUAGAACAGGUCAGUUACGAGUCAAAUGACCCUUCCACUACUGAAGACCUGGCCAUUUAGAACAGGUCAGUUAAGAGUCAAAUGUGAAACUUCUCUUCUAUAUUAAACUCUAAAGGCAGUGCAACAUCAUCAAUUAUCUUAAUGAUUAUUGCAUGGAGAAAUAGGUCAAGGAAGUGUCAAAGACAAAUACAGCAAUAGUUGAAGUAGCACUUUACAUGGCGGUAGCCUUAUCUGUGGCCUACGGUAUGCUCCCUGUCUAAAGCACUGGGAUUAGACGUCCAUUUGAAUGGUUAUAGACCAUACAGAUGGUACUUAGAUGGCUCUGGGGUAGCUUCAGUGCCAUUUAGGAAGGACAAGGGAGAUGACGACAUGCCUUGCUUGAGUUGGAUUUUAAAUGUUAUAUUAGUAUGAAAUAUUAGUAUCUAUUAAAUCAGUUUUACAGUGGAUAUACACUUACUUGUGCGUCUGAUUUUGUGAUAUGGCAAUGUUGAUGUGUGCAUUUAAUAAAGUUGAAACUGUAGGAGUUCA